rnacentral:rRNA from 1 species
UACGUAGGCAGCAAGCGUUGUUCGGAGUUACUGGGCGUAAAGAGCUCGUAGGCGGUUUGUCGCGUCUGCCGUGAAAGUCCGGGGCUCAACUCCGGAUCUGCGGUGGGUACGGGCAGACUAGAGUGAUGUAGGGGAGACUGGAAUUCCUGGUGUAGCGGUGAAAUGCGCAGAUAUCAGGAGGAACACCGAUGGCGAAGGCAGGUCUCUGGGCAUUAACUGACGCUGAGGAGCGAAAGCGUGGGGAGCGAACAGG